rnacentral:snoRNA from 14 species
CGCACAAUUUACACGGACCCGCCCUGGUGUUCUACCUUGGUGCCGGUGGUGUCCGCCAGUGUUGUGCAAG